AUAAGUAAUGUGAAUUGCAGAAUUCAGUGAAUCAUCGAAUCUUUGAGCGCACCUUGCGCUCCUUGGUAUUCCGAGGAGCAUGCCUGUUUGAGUGUCAUCU
rnacentral:rRNA from 1 species